GAUGAACGCUGACAGAAUGCUUAACACAUGCAAGUCUACUUGAUUCUACUUCGGUAGUUGAUGGUGGCGGACGGGUGAGUAACGCGUAAAGAAUCUGCCCUUUAGUUCGGGAUAACCUUUGGAAACGAAGGAUAAUACCGGAUAUUAUGGAGACGUCGCAUGACGAUUUCAUGAAAGCUAUAUGCGCUAGAGGAGGCCUUUGCGUCCCAUUAGUUAGUUGGUGAGGUAAUGGCUCACCAAGACCGCGAUGGGUAGCCGGCCUGAGAGGGUGAUCGGCAACAAGGGAACUGAGACACGGUCCUUACUCCUACGGGAGGCAGCAGUGGGGAAUAUUGGACAAUGAGCCACAAGCCUGAUCCAGCAAUUCUGUGUGCACGAUGAAGGUCUUCGGAUUGUAAAGUGCUUUCAGUAGGGAAGAAAAAAAUGACGGUACCUACAGAAGAAGCGACGGCUAAAUAUGUGCCAGCCGCCGCCGUAA
rnacentral:rRNA from 1 species